UUUAAGUGCAAGCAUAAGUUUCUGCACCCAAGUCCAUCUUAAUUGAAUUUUUUUAUAACUAGUAUUUUUAUUAUUAUGAGAUGAUAAAACAUGAAUAGUACUUUAUAAGUGACAUAUGUUUUUAAUUUUUUCAUUUUUUUUAAAAAAAUAAAACGUACAGUUAAAGUUGUGUACGAAAAAUCAUGGCUGCACUUAAA
rnacentral:pre_miRNA from 1 species